GCAACCUGAACUCAGAUGUGAUUACCCNCUGAACUUCCCAUAUCNUUU
rnacentral:rRNA from 1 species